AUACUCUGCUUUUUCUUCAGAUCAUGUAAAUCUUUUGCCUUUUACUGAAGAUUUCCAUGGAGAGGAACAUAAAAUAGUUCUUGCCUUCCUAGCUGUUGUAGUGAGUAAGUGGAUUCCU